GCAGUAUGGAGUUGGAAAGGCCAUCUGUGCUUUUGUGUCCCAGAAAUUCAACUACAAAAUAAAGAGCUGAUCCUCUUUCCAGAUGCACUUACUUUAUAGCAGCAAAGUCAAAAUAAUUAAAAUAGUAAAAGGUUAUUCCCUUCCCCAUGUAUUUUAUACCCUUCCUAUAUAUUAAGGUAUUCUGUAAGUAUUUAAUGAUUUAAACUAAGCUUGUAUUCUUUGCCUUGGUCAUGAAACGAUUAGAAUAAACUCCCCCCAAAUAGCUCAUUGUCUGUCUAGUCUCCAAUUAUCUCUGUAGAGAAAAGUACUAUUGUAAGUAGCAAAAAAUAUUUAUGUUUUACUUGAGAAACCAUAUUUAUUCUUUAAUAUGUGUGUUUACACAGAAGCUUGUUCUCUGAAUAAAAUUGUGAAAUGCUAAAACCAAUA
ensembl:lncRNA novel transcript, sense intronic to PKP2